GGGGAUAUAGCUCAGUGGUCGAGCAUUCGACUGCUGAUCGAGACGUCUCCGGCUCAAACCCUGGUUUCCUCU